rnacentral:rRNA from 3 species
GGACUACUGGGGUAUCUAAUCCCGUUUGCUCCCCUGGCUUUCGCGCCUCAGCGUCAGAAGAGGGCCAGCCGCGCGCUUUCGCCACCGGCGUUCCUUCCGAUAUCAACGCAUUUCACCGCUCCACCGGAAGUUCCCGCGGCCCCUACCUCCCUCCAGACCAGCAGUAUCCAAGGCACUUUUCCGGUUGAGCCGAAAGAUUUCACCCCGGACUUGCUGAUCCGCCUACGCGCCCUUUAAGCCCAGUGAUUCCGAACAACGUUCGCACGGUUCGUCUUACCGCGGCGGCUGGCAC